GGUUAAGCGACUAAGCGUACACGGUGGAUGCCCUGGCAGUCAGAGGCGAUGAAGGACGUGCUAAUCUGCGAUAAGCGCCGGUAAGGUGAUAUGAACCGUUAUAACCGGCGAUUUCCGAAUGGGGAAACCCAGUGUGACUCGUCACACUAUCAUUAACUGAAUCCAUAGGUUAAUGAGGCGAACCGGGGGAACUGAAACAUCUAAGUACCCCGAGGAAAAGAAAUCAACCGAGAUUCCCCCAGUAGCGGCGAGCGAACGGGGAGGAGCCCAGAGCCUGAAUCAGCAUGUGUGUUAGUGGAAGCGUCUGGAAAGGCGCGCGAUACAGGGUGACAGCCCCGUACACAAAAGCGCAUGUGCUGUGAGCUCGAUGAGUAGGGCGGGACACGUGGUAUCCUGUCUGAAUAUGGGGGGACCAUCCUCCAAGGCUAAAUACUCCUGACUGACCGAUAGUGAACCAGUACCGUGAGGGAAAGGCGAAAAGAACCCCGGCGAGGGGAGUGAAAAAGAACCUGAAACCGUGUACGUACAAGCAGUGGGAGCCCCACCACUAAGCCAGUGGUGAACUCCACAUACGCAUCCUUUGC
rnacentral:rRNA from 1 species